rnacentral:misc_RNA from 1 species
CUUGCCUUCGGGUAUACAACUCCCAACCCCUUGUUGAUUAAUACCUAUUACGUUGCUUGGCGGCUCCGUCCUCGGACCACCGCUUCUAAAGGGUCAGUGCCCGCCAGAGGACCCUAAAACUCUGUUUAGUGGAAUAUUCUGAGUAACUAAAUAAUAAAUUA